GAAAUGCGAUAUGUAAUGUAAAUUGCAGAAUUCAGUGAAUCAUCGAAUCUUUGAACGCACCUUGCGCUCCUUGGUAUUCCUUGGAGCAUGCCUGUUUGAGUAUCAUGAAAUCUUCAAAGUAAAUCUUUUGUUAACUCAAUUGGCUUCUACUUUGGUAUUGGAGGUCUUUGCAGCUUCACACCUGCUCCUCUUUGUUCAUUAGCUGGAUCUCAGUGUUAUGCUUGGUUCCACUCGGCGUGAUAAGUUAUCUAUCGCUGAGGACACUGUAAAAGGUGGCCAAGGUAAAUGCAGAUGAACCGCUUCUAAUAGUCCAUUGACUUGGACAAUACUUUUAUGAUCUGAUCUCAAAUCAGGUAGGACUACCCGCUGAACUUAAGC
rnacentral:misc_RNA from 1 species